rnacentral:rRNA from 1 species
GACGAACGCUGGCGGCGUGUUUAACACAUGCAAGUCGAACGAAGUGGCGAACGGGUGAGUAAUACGUGAGUAACCUGCCCUCCUUUUUGGGAUAAGCCUUGGCAACGGGGUCUAAUACCGAAUAACGGGGGAUGGGCUCGCGGCCUAUCAGCUUGUUGGUGGGGUGAUGGCCUACCAAGGCGGUGACGGGUAGCCGGCCUGGGAGGGUGACCGGCAACAUUGGGACUGGGAGACGGCCCAGACUCCUACGGUAGGCAGCAGUGAGGGAUAGUGCAGAAUGAGCGAAAGCCUGAUGCAGCGACGCCGCGGGGGGGAGGAGGGCUUUCGGGUUGUAAACCUCUGGCGAUAUCGGACGGGUAGGUGGAGGAGAAGGGCCGGCUAACUACGGGCCAGCAGCCGCGGUAAUUC